GACGUAGGGCGCGAGCGUUGUCCGGAUUUAUUGGGCGUAAAGAGCUCGUAGGCGGCUUGUCGCGUCGACUGUGAAAUCCCGCGGCUCAACUGCGGGUCUGCAGUCGAUACGGGCAGGCUAGAGUUCGGUAGGGGAGACUGGAAUUCCUGGUGUAGCGGUGGAAUGCGCAGAUAUCAGGAGGAACACCGAUGGCGAAGGCAGGUCUCUGGGCCGCAACUGACGCUGAGGAGCGAAAGCAUGGGGAGCGAACAGG
rnacentral:rRNA from 1 species